rnacentral:lncRNA from 1 species
ACGGGCCGUGCCGGGCACGGCCCGUUCAGCACGGAACGGCAGCCCGGCCCGGCCCCAGGCCCGUCUAUUGACGGGCCGGGCCGGGCACGGCACGAGACGGGCCGUGCCUGGUGAGGGGGGGAGAAAAAUAGCCGUUUCCAACGGCUAUUUUGGGAAAAUUCCAAUUUUACCCCUCCCAACAGUCCAAAAACGGCUAAAUUGAGGGGUAUUUUGGGAAAAAAAUUUUUGGGGCUUCUAUAAAUAGCCCUUUCCUCCCUCAUUCUCACCACACCAAACCAACUAUUCUCUCCUUCUCUACUACUAUUAUUUCUCUCUUCUAAAGUGCUCUUCUAGCAAUUUAAUUUUUAGUUU